rnacentral:rRNA from 1 species
AGUGAACGCUGGCGGUAGGCCUAACACAUGCCAGUCGAACGGCAGCACAGUAAGAGCUUGCUCUUACGGGUGGCGAGUGGCGGACGGGUGAGGAAUACAUCGGAAUCUACUUUUUCGUGGGGGAUAACGUUGGGAAACUUACGCUAAUACCGCAUACGACCUACGGGUGAAAGCAGGGGAUCUUCGGACCUUGCGCGAUUGAAUGAGCCGAUGUCGGAUUAGCUAGUUGGCGGGGUAAAGGCCCACCAAGGCGACGAUCCGUAGCUGGUCUGAGAGGAUGAUCAGCCACACUGGAACUGAGACACGGUCCAGACUCCUACGGGAGGCAGCAGUGGGGAAUAUUGGACAAUGGGCGCAAGCCUGAUCCAGCCAUACCGCGUGGGUGAAGAAGGCCUUCGGGUUGUAAAGCCCUUUUGUUGGGAAAGAAAAGCAGCAGGUUAAUACCCCGCUGUUCUGACGGUACCCAAAGAAUAAGCACCGGCUAACUUCGUG